GAUGAGAACGUAGCGAAAUGCGAUAAGUAAUGUGAAUUGCAGAAUUCAGUGAAUCAUCGAAUCUUUGAACGCACAUUGCGCCCCCCAGUAUUCUGGCGGGCAUGCCUGUUCGAGCGUCAUUUCAACCAUCAAGCCCUGCUUGUGUUGGGGUCCUGCGGCUGCCCGCAGGCCCUGAAAACCAGUGGCGGGCUCGCUAGUCACACCGAGCGCAGUAGCACAUCUCGCUCAGGGCGUGCGGCGGGCUCCAGCCGUUAAAGCACCCACCUUUCGCAAGGUUGACCUCGGAUCAGGUAGGAAUACCCGCUGAACUUAAGCAUAUCAAUAAGCGGAGGA
rnacentral:misc_RNA from 1 species